GCCCCUAGCAGCAUUAGGGGUGAGGCCUGCCCACUGUUGAAGGGCUGCAGUACCCUGACUGUACAAAGGUAGCAUAAUAAGUCGCCCUUUAAUUGAGGGCUGGUAUGAAAGGCUGAACGGGGUUGGAGGUCUUAUAGAUUGAACUUAACCUAAAGGUAAGAAGGCCUUUAUUCCCCCCCGGGACGAGAAGACCCUAGAAGCUUUACCAGCCUGUUGGUUGGGGCAACCAGGGAUGAGAACGAACGUCACAGUUACUCUAGGGUUAACAGCGCAAUAUCCCGCCUGAGCACGCAUUGGGCUGGGUGGUUGCGACCUCGAUGUUGAGUCGAAGGGUGUAGGAGCCCGGGUUUGUUCAACCCAUAAUCCUUCACG
rnacentral:rRNA from 1 species